GUACUUGCCUCGUGCGGGGGCCUGUUGAUCACCGAGGACGAGCCCCCAGGGCGAGGCGCGGGCAUUGCACUGCCCUCGCGUUGACCCCUGUCACUACCUCAAUCUAAGGCAGAUGGGGCGUGCAAUUUGAU
rnacentral:snRNA from 1 species